UGCUGAGCUGGAGAAGCUCCAGCAGUCAGUGGCUGAAGCAGAGCAGAGGCUGCUGGCUCUGCAGCAGCAGCUGCAGAGCGCACAGGGCGAGGAGACACACCUGCAGACCGUCCGCCACAUGUCCGUGUUGACCGAAUUGAGCAGCGUGGGGAGCAACUGCAUCCUCGCAGGCAACACUUCGUCUAGCAGUUCGAGG